GAUGAACGCUGGCGGCGUGCUUAACACAUGCAAGUCGAACGGAAAGGCCCAAGCUUGCUUGGGUACUCGAGUGGCGAACGGGUGAGUAACACGUGGGUGAUCUGCCCUGCACUUCGGGAUAAGCCUGGGAAACUGGGUCUAAUACCGGAUAGGACGAUGGUUUGGAUGCCAUUGUGGAAAGUUUUUUCGGUGUGGGAUGAGCUCGCGGCCUAUCAGCUUGUUGGUGGGGUAAUGGCCUACCAAGGCGUCGACGGGUAGCCGGCCUGAGAGGGUGUACGGCCACAUUGGGACGGAGAUACGGCCCAGACUCCUACGGGAGGCAGCAGUGGGGAAUAUUGCACAAUGGGCGCAAGCCUGAUGCAGCGACGCCGCGUGGGGGAUGACGGCCUUCGGGUUGUAAACUCCUUUCGCUAGGGACGAAGCGUUUUUGUGACGGUACCUGGAGAAGAAGCACCGGCUAACUACGUG
rnacentral:rRNA from 1 species